rnacentral:rRNA from 1 species
UACGGAGGAGGCAAGCGUUAUCCGGAAUUAUUGGGCGUAAAGCGUCCGCAGGUGGCUAUUCAAGUCUGCGGUCAAAGACUGGGGCUUAACCCUGGAAAGGCCGUGGAAACUGAAGAGCUAGAGUGCAGUAGGGGGUAGAGGGAAUUCCCGGUGUAGCGGUGAAAUGCGUAGAUAUUGGGAGGAACACCAGUGGCGAAGGCGGCUCACUGGACCGGUACUGACGCUGAUGCGCGAAAGCGUGGGGAGCAAACAGGG